rnacentral:lncRNA from 1 species
GGGCUGUUCAGAGGGUUGCUCAGGCAGGUGGAGGCAGGACAGGCCUCACACGCACCCCCAGAAGCAGUAGGGCUGUAUCCAUGAGGAUGGGGCUCAGUGCUCCUCCAGGAAGAGCAUUUCCCAGAAGGUGCAGACUCAUUUGGUCGAUGGCUGGAAGAGUCGAAGAGUCAAGGAGGACGGACCCUUAGCGGCCACAGAAUAAUAAGUUACUCAGAACUGGCCUUUCCUCCUAGUGCGGGGUGAUCGAGUGCAUCCCCGACUGCACCUCCCGGGACCAGCUGGGCCGCCAGACAGACUUCGGCAUGUACGACUACUUCACACGCCAGUACGGGGAUGAGUCCACCCUGGCCUUCCAG